ensembl:miRNA MIR208A microRNA 208a
UCCUCCAACGGGGAAGCUUUUGGCUCUGGUUAUAUUUCCACUCGCAGCGUAUAAGACGAGCGAAAAGCUUGUCGGUUGGCGGGGA